rnacentral:tRNA from 1 species
GCGAUGCCAGAGUGGUUAAUGGGUAAGACUUGAAUUAGUAAUUCAGUCAUCUUAUGGUUUCGGCCUCGUAGGUUCAAAUCGUACGUGCUGCU